GGCAGUGUGGUGCAGUGGUUUGAGCAUUGGACUAUUACUCUGGAGAUCAGGGUUUGAUUCCCCACUUGGCCU
rnacentral:tRNA from 1 species